UACGUAGGAUGCAAGCGUUGUCCGGAAUUAUUGGGCGUAAAGAGUUCGUAGGCGGUUGCCUAAGUCUGGUGUUAAAGCCCGAAGCUCAACUUCGGCAUGGCAUUGGAAACUGGGCGGCUAGAGUGCGGUAGAGGUCUCGGGAAUUCCAGGUGUAGCGGUGAAAUGCGUAGAUAUCUGGAGGAACACCGGUGGCGAAAGCGCGAGACUGGGCCGUAACUGACGCUGAGGAACGAAAGCCAGGGGAGCAAAAGGG
rnacentral:rRNA from 1 species